rnacentral:tRNA from 1 species
GUAAACAUAGUUUACUUAAAACACUAGACUGUGAAUCUAGAAACAAGAGAUAAAACUCUUUGUUUACC